GGAUGAAUUUUCAUCACAGUAUUGCAAUGAGAACAAUGUAAAUGCUUUAUCGAUUAACAAUUGGAGGGCAAGUCUGGUGCCAGCAGCCGCGGUAAUUCCAGCUCCAAUAGCGUAUAUUAAAGUUGUUGCAGUUAAAAAGCUCGUAGUUGAACUUCUGUACAUUCCCAGUUCUGGCUUCGGUCAAGCUGUGGAGUGUGCAUCCGCUUGCAAACUUAGACCGGCCUUCACUGGUCGACUAAGGGAGUAAGCCCUUUACUUUGAAAAAAUUAGAGUGUUUCAGGCAGGCAAUGGCUCGAAUACAUUAGCAUGGAAUAAUGGAAUAGGACUUUUGUCCAUUUGGUUGGUUAUUGGACAUAAGUAAUGAUUAAAAGGGACAGUUGGGGGCAUUAGUACUUAAUUGUCAGAGGUGAAAUUCUUGGAUUUAUUAAAGACUAACUUAUGCGAAAGCAUUUGCCAAGGAUGUUUUCAUUAAUCAAGAACG
rnacentral:rRNA from 1 species